AAUUAAUCACAUGUUCUACCUUGUUUAACAUUAUUGAUUUGAAAUCCGUUUGGUUGCCAAGAAAAGUGAUAGUGGAUGUCUCCAAAAUCAGUGGAAUGUCAAGUGGAAGGGCUUGAAGAGUUCCUGAAUCAAUCCAAAUCGGGUCCCCAGGAAUCUCCGCAGAAAUCAUGGACGGAUCACUAAGUAUCCCUCGUACUGCCCGCAGAACCUCGACUCGUAGAAAGCCCAUCCAAGUAGAACCAGAAAGCUCACAGCCAUUGACUCAAAGUCGCC